UUUCCCAAACUGCAAGCAGACACCGUGCUGCUCGUCAGGAUGUAUUUCCCUGUGUAAGCAGCGAGGGACCUGGUUAAUCAUCUAUCGCAGAUAGAUGGGCAUGAGAAAGGAAAGUGUUGAUGUUUGCUUGUUCGGGCUGAUGGGAAUGGCCCACGAAUUUAGGAUUAAAUUACUAAUGGUGAUCAUAAGUCUUUGUUUCCUCUCUCUCUCUUUCCCUUUUCUGCUGGGAUCGUCAAAGUAAAGCGCGCAACAUUCUUUGGGCAGUCUCAGAGCAACUUUGCAGUACAAAAUAAGCUAUCGCACCCUCCUGGGUUAACUGGGACCUCUUCAAGGUUUUAGCCUCGAACCAGUUAGGAGCGGGGCAAAUCCCAGUACUAACUUUAGCCAGGUUUUCCCAGGUGGAUAUGUGACAAGGGAGCGGAGCAGCACUUCCGAAGGCGCUGUGCAGGCAGCUGAACGGGACCGGCAGCUUUCCCAUCCGCUUCCAACAGAGGAGCUCUGGCUCCAGCACCUCUCUCCCAGGAACCAAAUGCCACCAAGGAUAAAUCCAGAGAGACGGCCACCACAGAAUAAGAAGGUGUGAGAUGCAACGCUGUGCUGUUUGUUUUUCUGAAAGGUUGACAGUUUUCCUAAAACUUCAGUUCUCCAUGCUUUCUGGUUUUGGUGAAAGCCUGUUUCAGCAGUCAAAGUAAGAAAACAUCCUCCAUGUAACACAUGGAAAACUUGUUUGAAUAAGCGUCCUUCAAAAUGAGAGACCUUUACCUGAGUUAUGAAAUAGCUCAAUAUUUCAGGAAAGAGUGCAGAAGGAAACUCAUAUUCACAUCAGAUUUCAUAGUGUGAUUUUGCAACAUAGAAUGGAAUAUCCAUGUUUUCUGAUAGUGCUCGCAACAGGAGAAGAUAAGCAUGUAAAAAAAGAAAUUAAAAGCUCUUUACUUGGUGGUAA